UGGUCCUCUGUCCAGAAGGCUGGGGUAAGAAGAAGACCCUGUGACGACUUUCCUAUAGUCUGGUCUUUACUCCCCAACCCUGUUUUAACUCUCAGGUCUGCAGGGGAAGCCUCAAGCAGCUACUUUCUCACCUGUGACCAUCAAGAGAGGCUAGCAAGCCCAACUUCACAGGCUCAAGCAAGGAUUUUACCAAGGUCUGAUGGGGAUGGAAUGAUCUUCCAGAGUGCAGAGAAGACUGGCAGGCAGUCAUCAAGCUCUCUGCUGGUGUUUGGCUGCCUGUGCAGCACACUGCUCUUUCCUCAAGUCGCUCACAAAUCCCCCAGAUUUUGUUUGAACCUGUUUUUUGUUGAGUUCUUGGCAUGUGAAGGCAACAGCAGGUUAAUACGCCAUUUGUCGACGACUGACCCGGAGGACGCCCUGGGGUUAGUUGGACGGAGACAUCACUGAGCCAGCUGCAAAAAUGAGAAGUCAGAAGAAGAAGAAAAAAAAAGGAUAACCAAAGCCAUCCCCCUACAAAGAAAGAGGGAUCCCCUUGGAGACAAGCCUCUGGUAAGACUGAUUAAUUGAAAUGAGAAGGUCGAUCCCAGAAGUGGUCAGCGCCAUCCCAUGGGCUGGGCUCCUAAACCGAAAAGGAGAUGAGCUGAGCAUUCUGACUGUGAGUGUAACAGGACCAGCCACCCUGUGCAAAAACAAGCAUAGAUGUAAUGGGACCAUCUGACCUCCUGCUCCUGUGCCUUUCCGACCAUGGUAGACCAUGUAUCCCGGAACUGUGAGCCACAGUGGACUGUGCAUCCUGGAACUGUGAGCCAGGGCAAACCUAUCCUUCCUUCAACUGCUUCUUGUCUUCUGUCACAGCAACAAAGAAGUGACUAAUAACUCUAGCAACUAAACUUGGCCACCACAGCAGAGUCACAUGUAGCUGAUCUGUAGACUACACUACUACUGUGUGUGCGACUUGUGUGACUUUGCAAUGAUAGCAGGUGGGCCAUAUUGGGUAUGUAUGUAGGCUCUAAUUUGUCCUGAAAUAGCUAUUGGUUGGUCAAAAUUUGCUUUAGCAAGACUCCCUGUGAUAUAAUAAUUUAAGCCUAGAAGCUCCAUUUCUCAUUUUAUUCUCCCUUUGCUGUUACAAACUCUAUUUCAAAUGUUCUUUUGGAAACUGAUGGGUGUAGAGAGUAGGCCUAUGGUGCCUGUCUGUACCUUUUAGUGAUAACAUGACCUUAGGUUAAUUGCUUAAA
rnacentral:lncRNA from 1 species